CCUACGGGAGGCAGCAGUGGGGAAUAUUGCACAAUGGGGGAAACCCUGAUGCAGCGACGCCGCGUGAGUGAAGAAGUAUUUCGGUACGUAAAGCUCUAUCAGCAGGGAAGAAAAUGACGGUACCUGACUAAGAAGCCCCGGCUAACUACGUGCCAGCAGCCGCGGUAAUACGUAGGGGGCAAGCGUUAUCCGGAUUUACUGGGUGUAAAGGGAGUGUAGACGGCAGCGCAAGUCUGGAGUGAAAUCCCAUGGCUUAACCAUGGAACUGCUUUGGAAACUGUGCAGCUAGAGUGCAGGAGAGGUAAGCGGAAUUCCUAGUGUAGCGGUGAAAUGCGUAGAUAUUAGGAGGAACACCAGUGGCGAAGGCGGCUUACUGGACUGUAACUGACGUUGAGGCUCGAAAGCGUGGGGAGCAAACAGGAUUAGAUACCCCUGUAGUC
rnacentral:rRNA from 1 species